rnacentral:rRNA from 1 species
CGCUAUCACUCCUACGGGAGGCAGCAGUGGGGAAUAUUGCACAAUGGGCGCAAGCCUGAUGCAGCCAUGCCGCGUGUGUGAAGAAGGCCUUCGGGUUGUAAAGCACUUUCAGUAGGGAGGAAGGUAGUGUAGUUAACACCUGCAUUAUUUGACGUUACCUACAGAAGAAGCACCGGCUAACUCCGUGCCAGCAGCCGCGGUAAUACGGAGGGUGCGAGCGUUAAUCGGAAUUACUGGGCGUAAAGCGCAUGCAGGCGGCCUGUUAAGUCAGAUGUGAAAGCCCGGGGCUUAACCUCGGAAUUGCAUUUGAAACUGGCAGGCUAGAGUCUUGUAGAGGGGGUAGAAUUUCAGGUGUGCGGUGAAAUGCGUAGAGAUCUGAAGGAAUACCAGUGGCGAAGGCGGCCCCCUGGACAAAGACUGACGCUCAGAUGCGAAAGCGUGGGGAGCAAACAGGAUUAGAUACCCUGGUAG